rnacentral:rRNA from 1 species
UACGUAGGGGGCAAGCGUUGUCCGGAUUUAUUGGGCGUAAAGAGCGUGUAGGCGGCCAGACAGGUCCGUUGUGAAAACUCGAGGCUCAACCUCGAGACGUCGACGGAAACCGUCUGGCUAGAGUCCGGAAGAGGAGUGUGGAAUUCCUGGUGUAGCGGUGAAAUGCGCAGAUAUCAGGAAGAACACCUAUGGCGAAGGCAGCACUCUGGGACGGUACUGACGCUGAGGCGCGAAAGCGUGGGGAGCGAACAGG